UGACUUUAUAACGUAUUUAAUGGAAAACUAUGAAAUAAAAGGCGUAGAAUGGAAAAACAUAAUUCUUAGUUAGUAGAAAUAUACUGGAAAGCUAAGAGUCUUCUUCGAGUAAACUUAACAAUUUUUGUUAACUGAACUGCGUAAAUUGAAACAUCUUAGUAACGCAAGGAAAGUAAAUCAACCGAGAAGCUGAUAGUAGUGGCGAGCGAAUUCAGAAUUUUUUAAUAGAGAAAGUAAAAUUCUGGAAUGUUUUGCAAUAUAAGGUGAUAGCCCUGUAACUUUUUUCUAAUAAUUUCUUAUAAGUAAAACGAUAAAUGAAAUGUUGUUUGAAUGCAGGGGAACCACCCUCUAAGAAAGAAUACCUUUUAUUAUCUAUAGCGAAAAGUACCGUAAGGGAACGUUGAAAUAGUAUCUCGAACAAGAGAAGUGAAAUAGACUUGAAAUUGAAUACGGUUUACCAGUAAGAGCAAUUUAUUUGUGAUUGCGUACCUUUUGUAUAAUGGGUCAACGACUUAAUGUAGGUUGCGAGUAUUAAAAAGCACAGCGAAAGCGAGUUUUAAAAGACAAGAGAGUAAUCUAUAUUAUACCCGAAACCGCGUGAUCUAUUCAUGGGCAGGUUUUUGACCGAACCCGUAUUCGUUGCAAUGAGUUGGGAUGAUCUGUGAAUAGGCGUGAAAGGCGAAUCAAACGCGGAAAUAGCUGGUUUUCUUCGAAAAUUAUUUAGGUAAUGCAUUCUUGUAGGCCGUAGGUCGUAGACCUGGCCAUAGAGGGGUAAAGCGCUGUAUCGCUGAUGGGAACCUAAAGUUUUACUGAUGCGAGGCAAACUUAGAAUACUCAAAAGAAUAGUCAGACGUUAGGUGCAAAGGUCUAAUGUCAAGAGGGAAACAGCCCAGAUCAUAGGUUAAGGUCUUUAAGUAUUGCUUAGUAAAAGAUUGUUUUAGUGUGUUGAUUAUAGGAAGGUGGGCUUGGAGGCAGCCAUCCUUUAAAGAAAGCGUAACAGCUCACCUAUUUUGUAGCGCUAUGAUAUCGAAAAUGAGGGAGUUUCAAGCAAUACACCGAAACUAUGAAUAACUUGAAAAAGUUAUGGUAGAAGAACGUCCUGUAUUGAAAAAUUAAUCGUGAGAUUAGUGGUAGCUCAGGAGUGAAAAUGUUGACAUGAGUAGAAUGAAUUAAUGUUGUAAUCAUUAAGGCCGUAAGCUCAAGGUUUUUUUGGAGUAACUAAAUUUCCAAUUUAUAAUCCGGCCCCUAAGGAGUCGCAGUAUUUGCGCUUCGAUGGGUAUGUGUUUUAGUGACAACGAUACUGUGUGCGUUUAUAGAUUAUAGCAAGAGCACGGUAACGUUCAAGAAAAAACUAUUGCACUUUUAACCGUACUAAAACCGCUACAGGUGAGCGAGUAGAGUAUACUCAGGCUUUGGGCUAACGAUUCUGAAGGAACUCGGCAAAAUGGCUCCGUAACUUCGGGAGAAGGAGUACCUUUAACAAGGUGACACUAAAUGAGACUUGUAACUGUUUAUCAAAAACACAGGACUUUGCUAAAUCGAAAGAUGAUGUAUAGGGUCUGACGCCUGCCCGGUGCAGAAAGACAAAAUGGAGAAAUAUUGUGUUUCAAAAAUAAGUCCCUGUAAACGGCGGUCCUAACUCUGAGGAUCCUAAGGUAGCGAAAUUCUUUGCCACCUAAUUAGUGGCCUGCAUGAAUGGCGUAAUAACUUGUCUGCUGUCUCCAGAAUCGAUCCAUCGAAAUUGAAUUCUACGUGAAGAUGCGUAGUAAAAAUAGCUAGACGAAAAGACCCUGUGCACCUUUACUAUAUUCUUUGACUGUACAUUAAUGGAUGUUAUUUAGUAUAUGUGGUAGUCGAAGAUCCCAUAGCGCCAGCUAUUUGGUUAGACUCAAGUGAAAUACCACUUUUCGUUUAUUAAUGUUACUAAUGUUUUAUACAGAUAAUCAAAGAAGGGUAGUUUAUCUGGGGCGGAUAGCUGCUAAAGUGUAACGCAGCUGCGCAAAGGCAAUCUCAGGUAUGUCGGAAACAUACCGUAGAGUGUAAUGGCAAAAGAUUGCCUGACUGUUAGAAUAACAAUUCGUACAGGGAUGUACAUAAAUGUGUGUCGGCCAUAGUGAUCCGAUGAUGCUGAGUGGAAAGGUCAUCGCUCAACGAAUAAAAGGUACGCCAGGGAUAACAGGCUAAUGAUUCUUGAGAGUUCUAAUUGACGGAAUUGUUUGGCACCUCGAUGUCGUUUCAUCGCAUCCUGGGGCUGAAUAAGGUCCCAAGGGUUCGGCUGUUCGCCGAUUAAAGCGGUACGUGAAAUGGGUUCAGAACGUCGUGAGACAGUUCGGUUUCUAUCUACUAUUUUCUAAAAGAUCGAGAGUAUCUAAUCUUAGUACGAGAGGACCGGAUUAGCUCAGUCAAUGGUGUUUCUGUUGUUUUAUCAAGAGCAACGCAGAGUAGCUAAACUGUGAUAUCAUAAUCGCUGACAGCAUAUAAGCGAGAAAGAUUUCUCAAGAAAAUCUUUUGUAUAAUGUUCUAGACUAGAACAUCUUUAAUGAUAGGUAAAAAGUGUACGCGUAGUAAUACGUUGAGCUUACUUAUACUAAAAAGCAGCGUCCUGAAGUU
rnacentral:rRNA from 1 species